AUAAACUUAGAUAAAGAAGCUAUAUUUGAGUGUAUCUAUGAACAACUUUCACUGGAGCAGAUGAGGGUGUUUUCGGUGGAAUUCGAUCUUUAAGUUCUUUUCAUCUGGGAAACUUGUGUAAUGUUUAAAAUAAAAUAAAUUGUUAUCAAACCA